rnacentral:lncRNA from 1 species
AAUCUGGAUGACACAGAGUGAGUUAGUCUGCGGCUGUGAAGCCAGCUCCAGCUAUUGCUGAGACGUUAAGGAGGUGGUUCUUCACCAUGAUAUGCAUCAGUUUCUCUUUCUACAACAAGACUAGUUCCAGCCUUUUCUCUUGUGAGCAGAAACCCCUGCUGACCAGGUCUCUUUUUACAUCUCUGACACAGUUCAGUCGCAUUUAGUAAAUCAUUUUAGGAAAGGCUUCUCAGCUCAGACUCUCCUGGGGUUUGGGUCCCUUAAGGAUGAUUGAAGGGACGGUGUGUAGCUCCUGAUGAAGGUUUAAUGCCCCAGGCUGUGUUGGGCUGAGAAAUAUAUUCUCACCAAAGCCAUAACCGAAGCUAGAAAAACUAACCUGCAUCUGUCUACAUUCCUGUGAGAGGAAGGAAGCCAUUCCUAAGCAGCCAAUAGAUCGAAAGUCCCAUGAUCACGCAAAUGAUCCUUAACUAGGGAACUGUAGGUCCUGCCACCCACGGACACAGUCCAGACUCAUUCUGCUCAUUAGAUCCAAACUGUUUGUGCUGCCUGUAUUAUAUAUCUUGUUUGUGGGGAGGAGCUGUUUCAACAGCCAACUGCACAAUGAGGUCUAGAAGCAUUCUGAGUGCUGAGGACACCAUGGGACUGAAAAAUCAUCUCAGAAGGCUAAGACAUGGCCAUCCAAACUGACUGCUGCUAUUUGGUUGCUCAGCUUUUUCACUGUGCUUCUGACCUGAAUGAAGGAGGGGAAGUCAAGAAAGAGCCGAUCCUGAUCAUGCAUCUGAUGCAUACCCAGUCAUCUCUUCUUGCCUUUAAACCACAAGGGAGAAGACAGCAGAAAAGAUCUAAAAUAAGUAAUAUUAAUUUUCCUCUACACAUCUCUUGGAGAAUGCUCAGGAUCAUUUCAAAUUCAAAGCUAAAAAACAUUUAAAUCUUCCCUUUCUUCUAGACAAAUGGUACUUGCUGAUGAACAGAGCAAUGCUUUCAGACCGCGGUGGCAAGAACAUAUAUCCUGUGUUUUCUGGCUUCUCAUCACGCCUGACUCUUCUGAUUUAAUCCGUGCUUCAGGAAGGAAGCAAGAUGUUCUCUGAGCACAAAUGGCUCUGGAAGGAGUAGUAUGGAAAUAGAGAAGAUGAGAAAGAAAUAAUGUUUCAGUUUAGUCUCUUUCUCACUCUUGAAAGAAAGAGAAGGAAAAAAAAAAUAGAAGAAAAGCCAGCAAAGACGACAGUGCACAUGUCUGUCAGUUCAGACUUAAACUUCAGGAAGGAAUUUAGUAUUCUGCACAAUUGUUUGCU